rnacentral:tRNA from 1 species
AAAAACAUAGUAUAACUAAAAUACAUUUCAUUUACACUGAAAAAAUACUUUAUAUAAAGUUGUUUUUA